GACGAACCGAGCGAACGUUGUUCGGAAUCACUGGGCUUAAAGGGUGCGUAGGCGGGCUACCAAGUUUGAGGUGAAAUCCUCCGGCUCAACCGGGGAAGUGCCUUGAAUACUGGCGGUCUGGAGGGAGGUAGGGGCAUGCGGAACUAACGGUGGAGCGGUGAAAUGCGUUGAUAUCGUUAGGAACUCCGGUGGCGAAGGCGGCACGCUAGACCUCUUCUGACGCUGAGGCACGAAAGCCAGGGGAGCGAACGGG
rnacentral:rRNA from 1 species